rnacentral:SRP_RNA from 1 species
GCCGGGCGUGGUGGCUCACACCUGUAAUCCCAGCACUUUGGGAGGCCGAGAUGGGUGGAUCACCUGAGGUCAGGAGUUCAAGACCAGCCUGGCCAACAUGGUGAAACCCCGUCUCUA